CCUACGGGAGGCAGCAGUGAGGAAUAUUGGACAAUGGGCGCAAGCCUGAUCCAGCCAUGCCGCGUGCAGGAUGACGGUCCUAUGGAUUGUAAACUGCUUUUGCACAGGAGGAAACAACUCUACGUGUAGAGUCUUGACGGUACUGUGAGAAUAAGGAUCGGCUAACUCCGUGCCAGCAGCCGCGGUAAUACGGAGGAUCCAGGCGUUAUCCGGAAUCAUUGGGUUUAAAGGGUCCGUAGGCGGUUUAGUAAGUCAGUGGUGAAAGCCCAUCGCUCAACGGUGGAACGGCCAUUGAUACUGCUAGACUUGAAUUAUUAGGAAGUAACUAGAAUAUGUAGUGUAGCGGUGAAAUGCUUAGAGAUUACAUGGAAUACCAAUUGCGAAGGCAGGUUACUACUAAUGGAUUGACGCUGAUGGACGAAAGCGUGGGUAGCGAACAGGAUUAGAUACCCUGGUAGUCCACGCCGUAAACGAUGGAUACUAGCUGUUGGGCGCAAGUUCAGUGCUAAGCGAAAGUGAUAAGUAUCCCACCUGGGGAGUACGUUCGCAAGAANGAAACGUUAAAGGAAGUUAGACGG
rnacentral:rRNA from 1 species